rnacentral:sRNA from 1 species
CUGGCCGCCAUGUUGGAGCCUUCGCUAUUCCGGGCCCGGCCCGCUCCGGGCCCUCCCAGCGUCGCCGCUAGCUGACUUAGGGCUACCGCCCACACUGCGCACGGCCUUGCUGAGGGCCGGCUGGUAGUGGGAGGCUUCGCGUUCACCUGAACAUUUCCGCCUCCUCUGGAUGGGGGAUGAGAGGCGGGGCUGAUGCAUCGCCCCAGUCCUAGACCCUGACUUCGGACUUGGAGAAGAAACGCCGAGGAGGAACGGGAGUUAGGGGGCUAGCAUCUUGGCGGGCUGGGAGCCGCUCACCCCUGGCCUCCGGACUUCACUUCCCAGGAGGCCUCGCGCGCGACUGGAAGUGCUGCGAGCCUAUAAGAAGGCGAGGCUGCGCCCGCCGCUUGUUCUGGGGUGGCAUUGCCAGCCGGCUGUAGGCAUUUGGGGCAGUGUCUUCUGCAUCUCCUAGGAACCUCGGGAGCGGCAGCUCCGGCGCCUGGUAGCGAGAGGCGGGUUCCGGAGAUCCCGGCCUCACUUCGUCCCACUGUGGUUAGGGGAGUGCGUGAUCAGAAUGGUGUCAGGACGGUUCUACCUGUCCUGCCUGCUGCUGGGGUCCCUGGGCUCCAUGUGCAUCCUCUUCACUAUCUACUGGAUGCAGUACUGGCGUGGUGGCUUUGCCUGGAAUGGCAGCAUCUACAUGUUCAACUGGCACCCAGUGCUUAUGGUUGCUGGCAUGGUGGUAUUCUACGGAGGUGGUGAGUAA